rnacentral:rRNA from 1 species
UGGGGAAUAUUGGGCAAUGGGCGAAAGCCUGACCCAGCGACGCCGUGUGGGCGAUGAAGGCCUUCGGGUUGUAAAGCCCUGUGAGGUGGAAAGAAGGGUCCAGAGGUUAAUACCCUUUGGACUUUGACGGUACCACCAGAGGAAGCACCGGCUAACUCCGUGCCAGCAGCCGCGGUAAUACGGAGGGUGCAAGCGUUGUUCGGAUUUACUGGGCGUAAAGGGCGCGUAGGUGGUUGUGUAAGUCAGAUGUGAAAUCCUUAGGCUUAACCUGAGAACUGCAUCGGAUACUGCAUGACUCGAGUACAGCAGAGGGGAACGGAAUGCCGGGUGUAGAGGUGAAAUUCGUAGAUAUCAGGAGGAACACCGGUGGCGAAGGCGGUUUCCUGGGCUGAUACUGACACUGAGGCGCGAAAGCGUGGGGAGCAAACA